CCCGAGGAAAAGAAAUCAACCGAGAUUCCCCCAGUAGCGGCGAGCGAACGGGGAGGAGCCCAGAGCCUGAAUCAGCAUGUGUGUUAGUGGAAGCGUCUGGAAAGGCGCGCGAUACAGGGUGACAGCCCCGUACACAAAAGCGCAUGUGCUGUGAGCUCGAUGAGUAGGGCGGGACACGUGGUAUCCUGUCUGAAUAUGGGGGGACCAUCCUCCAAGGCUAAAUACUCCUGACUGACCGAUAGUGAACCAGUACCGUGAGGGAAAGGCGAAAAGAACCCCGGCGAGGGGAGUGAAAAAGAACCUGAAACCGUGUACGUACAAGCAGUGGGAGCACAGGUUUACCUGUGUGACUGCGUACCUUUUGUAUAAUGGGUCAGCGACUUAUAUUCUGUAGCAAGGUUAACCGUAUAGGGGAGCCGGAGGGAAACCGAGUCUUAACCGGGCGUUAAGUUGCAGGGUAUAGACCCGAAACCCGGUGAUCUAGCCAUGGGCAGGUUGAAGGUUGGGUAACACUAACUGGAGGACCGAACCGACUAAUGUUGAAAAAUUAGCGGAUGACCUGUGGCUGGGGGUGAAAGGCCAAUCAAACCGGGAGAUAGCUGGUUCUCCCCGAAAGCUAUUUAGGUAGCGCCUCGUGAAUUCAUCUCCGGGGGUAGAGCACUGUUUCGGCUAGGGGGCCAUCCCGGCUUACCAACCCGAUGCAAACUGCGAAUACCGGAGAAUGUUAUCACGGGAGACACACGGCGGGUGCUAACGUCCGUCGUGAAGAGGGAAACAACCCAGACCGCCAGCUAAGGUCCCAAAGUCAUGGUUAAGUGGGAAACGAUGUGGGAAGGCCCAGACAGCCAGGAUGUUGGCUUAGAAGCAGCCAUCAUUUAAAGAAAGCGUAAUAGCUCACUGGUCGAGUCGGCCUGCGCGGAAGAUGUAACGGGGCUAAACCAUGCACCGAAGCUGCGGCAGCGACACUCAGGUGUUGUUGGGUAGGGGAGCGUUCUGUAAGCCUGUGAAGGUGGCCUGUGAGGGUUGCUGGAGGUAUCAGAAGUGCGAAUGCUGACAUAAGUAACGAUAAAGCGGGUGAAAAGCCCGCUCGCCGGAAGACCAAGGGUUCCUGUCCAACGUUAAUCGGGGCAGGGUGAGUCGACCCCUAAGGCGAGGCCGAAAGGCGUAGUCGAUGGGAAACGGGUUAAUAUUCCCGUACUUGGUGUUACUGCGAAGGGGGGGACGGAGAAGGCUAUGUUGGCCGGGCGACGGUUGUCCCGGUUUAAGCGUGUAGGUGUGUGUUCCAGGUAAAUCCGGUUCACUUUAACACUGAGGCGUGACGACGAGGCACUACGGUGCUGAAGCAACAAAUGCCCUGCUUCCAGGAAAAGCCUCUAAGCAUCAGGUAACAUCAAAUCGUACCCCAAACCGACACAGGUGGUCAGGUAGAGAAUACCAAGGCGCUUGAGAGAACUCGGGUGAAGGAACUAGGCAAAAUGGUGCCGUAACUUCGGGAGAAGGCACGCUGACACGUAGGUGAAGUGAUUUACUCAUGGAGCUGAAGUCAGUCGAAGAUACCAGCUGGCUGCAACUGUUUAUUAAAAACACAGCACUGUGCAAACACGAAAGUGGACGUAUACGGUGUGACGCCUGCCCGGUGCCGGAAGGUUAAUUGAUGGGGU
rnacentral:rRNA from 5 species